GUGUAUUUAUGCCUGUCAGUUGCUGUCUGAGGUCUCCGCGACAACAAAGCAUCAGGUCAAAGCUGCCCUGAAGGAGGAGUUGUCACUGUAUGCUUCUGAUGGAGAAACAGAUCUCUGCAGGACUGCAACAGGCUGGUCUGCUGCAGGACAACAUCGCUCACACGAUCACAGGUGCUGACGCCUCUGAGGGGCCUCGGUCCAGGCGAUGCCAGGAUGUGGAAGUGCCUGGAUGGGCUGGAGUUGAGCUCAGUUACUGGAUCAAAACAGUUGAGAGUGAUGAGGUGCUCCCUGCCACAGCAGUUCACGCCUAUCCCUGUCAGCCCCAGCUCUAGUUUCUCUGAGCCGGUGCACCACGAGCUGCUGCCUCCCGGUGACUGCCCGCAGAACUUCUGCAAAACCUCCGAAGGCUCCACCUCAGGAUCGGAAACACUCACACCAUGCACCGUGUCUGAUGACACUUUGGCCAACUCAGAAAACUCUGAAAACCACACGCCCUCACUGUGUCUCUGUCCAUGUUCCUUAAAGCUGCAGUAAUCUGUAUUUUAAUAAUAAUUAAACUAUGGCAAUAGGGUGAUAAUUAUGAAUUUUAGACAAAUGAACAAUGACUCAUCAUUCUGAUCAUCAUGUUCACAUGGAAAAUUAGGUUUUCCAAGGAACCAAUAGGGAUAGUCCCCACUGUUAUAUAUUCAUGUGCUGGGUCCAAGGGAUUGUUUUUGAAAGAGGGCUGCAAUAAACCAUUUGUUUCACUAUUGAUCUCUUGAUUAUGUUUUUGAAAAAAGUGGCAAUAGACAACAUUUCAACUCCCCAACUUUCAGCGUUUCCAAGUAAUCGGAAACACUCACACCAUGCACCGUGUCUGAUGACACUUUGGCCAACUCAGAAAACUCUGAAAACCACACGCCCUCACUGCAUGAUGCAGGAGAAUACAUCCACCUCACUGAACCAUGAAGCAUCGGUACAACAAGUUUACUAGAGUAGAUCAUGUCCUUUGAAUUUUUACGUCUAUUUGCAUUUUACACAACUAAAAUACAACUUCAACAGAAAGGGAACAAAUUGAGAGCUACAUAGUGAAAUUAGUUUAGCA
rnacentral:lncRNA from 1 species